rnacentral:rRNA from 1 species
UCGGGAAUUUUGGGCAAUGGGCGAAAGCCUGACCCAGCAACGCCGCGUGGAGGAUGAAAUCCCUCGGGAUGUAAACUUCGCAAGAACGGGGAGAAUAAGCCGGUGUGAACAUCACCGGCGAUGACGGUACCGUUUGUAAGCUCCGGCUAACUCCGUGCCAGCAGCCGCGGUAAUACGGGGGGAGCAAGCGUCGUUCGGAUUUACUGGGCGUAAAGGGCGCGUAGGCGGCCACCGCAAGUCAAUUGUGAAAUCUCCGGGCUUAACUCGGAAAGGUCAACUGAUACUGCGGGGCUAGAGUGCGGAAGGGGCAACUGGAAUUCUCGGUGUAGCGGUGAAAUGCGUAGAUAUCGAGAGGAACACCUGCGGCGAAGGCGGGUUGCGUGGGCCGACACUGACGCUGAGGCGCGAAAGCUAGGGGAGCGAACGGGAUUAGAUACCCCGGUAGUCCUAGCCUUAAACGAUGAAUGCUUGGUGUCGUGGGGUUACAAAGGUCCCCGGGUGCCGUCGCUAACGC